GGGGUAUAGCCAAGCGGUAAGGCAAGGGACUUUGACUCCCUCAUNGGCUAAACGCGACGGACUGUAAAUCCGUUCCUUAGGGUUCAGUGGUUCGAAUCCACUCUCCUCCA
rnacentral:tRNA from 1 species